rnacentral:rRNA from 1 species
UACGUAGGGGGCAAGCGUUGUCCGGAAUCAUUGGGCGUAAAGAGCGUGUAGGCGGCCAGGUAGGUCUGGUGUGAAAACUCGAGGCUUAACCUCGAGAUGUCAUCGGAAACCAUCUGGCUAGAGUCCGGAAGAGGAGAGUGGAAUUCCUGGUGUAGCGGUGAAAUGCGCAGAUAUCAGGAAGAACACCAAUGGCGAAAGCAGCUCUCUGGGACGGUACUGACGCUGAGACGCGAAAGCGUGGGGAGCAAACAGG